rnacentral:rRNA from 1 species
UGAGGAAUAUUGCGCAAUGGGGGCAACCCUGACGCAGCGACGCCGCGUGAGUGAGGAAGGCCUUCGGGUCGUAAAGCUCUGUCAAAGGGAAAGAAGUGCAUGGUGGCUAAUACCUGCCAUGUUUGACGGUACCCUUAAAGGAAGCACCGGCUAACUCCGUGCCAGCAGCCGCGGUAAUACGGAGGGUGCAAGCGUUGUUCGGAAUCACUGGGCGUAAAGGGCGCGUAGGCGGUUUGAUAAGUCAGAGGUGAAAGCCCACGGCUUAACUGGGGAAUGGCAUUUGAAACUGUCAGACUUGAGUAUCGGAGGGGAAAGUGGAAUUCCCGGUGUAGAGGUGAAAUGCGUAGAUAUCGGGAGGAAUACCGGUGGCGAAGGCGACUUGCUGGCUGAAUACUGACGCUGAGGCGCGAAAGCGUGGGGAGCAAACA